CAUUUGAUGAUGAUUCCAUUCGAUUCCAUUCAUUGGUGAUUCCACUCAAUUCCAUUCAAUGAUUCCAUUCCAUUUCUUUCAACAAUGAUUCCAUUAGUUUCUAUUCGAUGAUCCACUUGAUUCCAUUUGACGAUGAUUCCAUUCUUGUCCAUUCGAUGAUUCCAUUUGAUUCCAUAUGAUGAUGAUUCCAUUCGAUUCCAUACGAUGAUGAUUCCAUUCGA
rnacentral:lncRNA from 1 species